GGGAUCUAAGAUUAAGUACCCAAGUUGUUUCAGAGGACUUGCACUGGCAUAAAACUGGAGUGAUGAUAAUGAUGAUGAAUCAGACCCAAAAUGCAUGUAGAAUUUAAUCUUGAUCGUGUCUGUUUAUGAGAACAGUGAGGGGCAUGACACAAAAUGUAGAUUACUGAAAAUACACCGUACAUUUCAAAGUCAGGUCAACCCCUGGUAAGGUGUUUGAAAUUCCAUUCUUAACAACAGCCCAAGCUCUCUCUCCUUAGUUACAGCAAACAAUCAGCGUACCAACUGGAAGAGGCACAAACAUUCGAUCUUCAGGUUUGUACGUGCCAAAGAAAAUGGUUAUCAGAUAUACGUGAAAUGAGGAGCACUGUUUUACGAGCUGUUCAUAUAAGUCAAAUGAUCCAGGUUAUGUUCAGACACAAAUGGACAAACGAUUACAGCAUGUGCUAGCAGACAACUUCUUGACCUCUUUCUUCUGGAGCACUUGAUCAGAAUGACUGACUAGUACACAUCCCCCUGGAUUUUGGGGGAAGGAGAACUCCAGUGUGGUUUUAGACAGCUGGAUGUUUGAUAUUCUCAUCAGGCAGUUCUUUAGCAUUCAGGAGCAGCAGUGAAUGUUGCUGAAAAUGUUCCACUGGGAGAUUUCCAUCAAAAAGCUUUUAUCAAGGUGGCUCUGGAUGUUAUCUUGACAGAACUAAAUAAACUAGCAGAGGAAGACAUGGAAGAUCUACUGGAAUAUGAAAGAGGAGUUCAGCUUGAUGUUCUCUGACUUGGAAAAAAGAAUCAGCCCUGCCUUCGUCUAUGAAGUUCAUAUGACCGCCUGGCCCCAG